UUUCUUUUAUAUUUGGUAACUAUUCAAUCUAAAUCGUAACAAAUAAAUAAACUUUAAACAGCCUAAGCAUGCGGAGAUGUCAUGACUCUAAGGCUCAACCGUACAACAUAAAUUAGAAUCGUAAACCUCAGUGCUACCUCUGCCUCAUUAAAACAAAUAACCCAAUAUACAGUUAUACUGUUACGUACACCCUUUUUGUAAGAUUUUAAGACAUUGAAGAUUCACAACCAGAAUCUAAAGCAGGGGAAAGGGUACUAUCAUCGCGUUGAGUUAGACGGAAAGCGACAAGGAAAGCGCAAGUCGACAAUAAACGAGUUCCCGAUGACCAGUUCAGCAGCCGCAAUAGCACUUUUUAGGUGAAAUGUCAGCCCAAGAGCUCUCGUUUUAAAAGAAUUGGUAUUUAGUACAAUUUUAAAGGACCGCCGGCUUUCUGAAAUGGAAUCUAAAAGUAUUACUAGACAAUUAACUAGUUUUAUGAGCUGACUUACAGAAAAAUGGAAAUUAUGUCAUUACAACAGAACUUAAAAAAAAAAACAGAAAUUCGGAUCUGGGUCGGCCCAAGAAGGAUUUUGGGGACCUGUGCAACAAAGUUCAAGCCAGAAAAAGGUCUAAUCUUGUGAAGGAAACCACAUGUGAUGAAUUAAUGGUGGCAGCGAGCUCCAGCUUAUUCAAAUCGGGAUUGCGAAGCGCAUCAAAAGUGUUUGUGCAUUGAAUACAGACAAUACUGCUGGAAAAAAAAAUUAAAGGUCACUGGACACACAUGUGAAGUUACCUAGUCCUUACUUACCAGAAGAAGCCCUGGCUCUGUAUAUAGAUAUAGCCCUCACUAAACACAAAUAUAAGCUAAUGCGAUGUAGUUCUAAGUAAAGAGAUGCUGAUAUAUAUCCAAGUUACCAGAAGUUGCAUUCAGCAAGGGUUAUGAGCUACCCAAAUGAGAUGAAAUAUUCGAACUAUACAGCGGAAACAACACUGCAGAGCUUAGUCGAUCAUACUGUUUGCGGAAAACAAUAAUCGCAUGUCUAACCGUAAUACAUGGAUGAUGGAGGCAGUGGACACGCAAUAUAUCGCCAAUAGUUUCAAAAUGGUGAAACUGACCGCGACCUUCAUCCACACGCUAUUGUAGGCCUUUGAAACUGAUUUGCGAAAAGGAAACUAUAGAAUUGAUUCGAUCAGAGUCGGAUAUAGUAAAAAGACAAAUACUAGACAUUCAACCAACAAUUACACCCUUAUUUACAAUUUCCCACGAAUUUCAUAUGACCAUGCUAGAUGGCAAAACAUUUAGCGCUCAUGCAUCUACUCAGACGUGUGGAAUUUGUAGAGCACUACCAAAAAAUAUAAAUUGGUAAAAAGCUAUCCAAUUGAUGCAGAUCUUUUGAAAUAUGGACUAUCAACUCUGCAUGCAUGGAUACGGUUUUUUGAGUAUAUCUUACAUAUUGCUUACAGACUGCCAAUGGCAAGUUCGUAACGAAGACAAGAGCAAGGUAGAAGCAAAAAAAAAAGAAAAAAAACAGAAAUCCAAUUGCAGCUAAGAAAUCAGAUGGGUUUAUUGGUAGACAUUCCUAUGGCGGGCUGUGGAAAUACCAACAAUAGAAAUACUGCUAGACGUUUUUUUAGUCAACCGAGUUUAGUUGCUGGCAUUAGUGGAGCUUGUGAAGAACUCAUAUACCGAUUCAGUGUGAUCUUAAGGAUGAUGGCUAGCAGACACCAAGUCAAUACAAAUUUAUUCAACUCAUAUGCAAAAUAUUCUUGGUGUUAUAUGCCGUCAUAUGUGCAAAAAGUUUUAAUACAAGGAGCAGACACCAUCAACAGUGUUGCCCUUCCUAUUGGUAUAAUGUCUGAAGAAGCACUUGAAGCUAGUAAACCAUUCCCGUAAGGACAACAGGAGUAAUACAAUGGAGGAGGUUAUGAACGGCUUUCUUUUUUCAUUGGAUCCGUAUAUAACGGCUAUGUCGAAAACUUUUAACCCUAGUUGUAAUUAAUUCAAUUUUGAUAAAACCGUGGCUGGGCUUUUGAUUAAUUUCGAAAACAAUUUAAAUAAAUCAGAUUCGUCGAGUCAUCCGAUUCUGAUUAAUUUCUGAUGAGAAAUAUAUAAUAAAUUUAUCAAAAGUCCAAUUAUAAAUUUUCA